rnacentral:rRNA from 1 species
AUCAACGCUGGCGGCGUGCCUAACACAUGCAAGUCGUACGAGAAAGUGGAGCAAUCCAUGAGUAAAGUGGCGACCGGGUGAGUAACACGUGACUACCUACCUUCUAGUGGAGGAUAACUCCGGGAAACCGGAGCUAAUACCGCAUAACAUCGCAAGAUCAAAGCAGCAAUGCGCUGGAAGAGGGGGUCGCGGCUGAUUAGCUAGUUGGUAGGGUAAUGGCCUACCAAGGCAAAGAUCGGUAUCCGGCCUGAGAGGGCGCACGGACACACUGGAACUGAAACACGGUCCAGACUCCUACGGGAGGCAGCAGUGGGGAAUUUUGCGCAAUGGGGGAAACCCUGACGCAGCAACGCCGCGUGGAGGAUGAAGUCCUUUGGGACGUAAACUCCUUUCGACCAAGACGAUAAUGACGGUACUGGUGGAAGAAGCACCGGCUAACUCUGUGCCAGCAGCCGCGGUAAUACAGAGGGUGCGAGCGUUGUUCGGAAUUACUGGGCGUAAAGAGGGCGUAGGUGGUCGCAUUAAGUCCCUGUGAAGACCUCUGGCUCAACUGGGAGCUGCAAGCGAAACUGUGGUCGACUCGGAGUAUGGAGAGGUGAGUGGAACUCCUAGGUGUAGGGGUGAAAUGCCGUUAGAUAUCGGGAGGAACACCUAGUGGCGAAAGGGCAGUCACUGGCACAUUCACUGACGCUCGAGGCAGCGAAAGCUAGGGGAGCAAACGGAUUAGAUACCCCUGAUAGUCCUACGCCCUAAACUAUGAUGACUGGCUUUCGGAGUGAUCGGUACCCAAUCUGGAUCGUGCCGAAGCUAACGCGAUUAAGUCAUCCGCCUGGGUAGUACGGUCGCAAGGACUGAAACUCAAAGGAAUAGACGGGGAGCCUUGCACAAGCGGUGGAGCAUGUGGCUUCAAUUCGUCGCUAAGCGAAGAACCUUACCAGGGCUAGAAUCCUACUGCACGUCUAGAUAGAGCCUUCGAGAUGUAGGACAGGUGAUGCAUGGCUGUCGUCAGUUCGUGGUUUGAAUCGUUCCCUUCAGUGGGGUAACGAACGCAACCCUCGUUGCCUGUUACAAGUGUCAGGCGAGACUGCCCCCUCACGGGGGAGGAAGGUGGGGAUGACGCCAAGUCAGCAUGUCCCUCUGAUGUCCUGGGCUGCACACGCGCUACAAUCGCCGUUACAAAGGGGCGCGACGUCGUAAGACCGAGCAAAUCCUCCAAAGCGGCGCCAGUUCGGAUUGGGGUCUGCAACCCGACCCCAUGAAGCCGGAAUCGCUAGUAAUCGCGGAUCAGCCAUGCCGCGGUGAAUACGUUCUCAAGCUUUGUACUCACCGCCCGUCAACUCAGGGAAGUUGGGAGUGCCCGAAGCACAUCCUCGUGAUGUACCAAGGCAAACUCAAUGACAAAGAGUAAGUCGUAACAAGGUAA